UACGGGGGGAGCAAGCGUUGUUCGGAUUUACUGGGCGUAAAGGGCGCGUAGGCGGCGUGGCAAGUCACUUGUGAAAUCUCCGGGCUUAACUCGGAACGGUCAAGUGAUACUGCUGUGCUAGAGUGCGGAAGGGGCAACUGGAAUUCUUGGUGUAGCGGUGAAAUGCGUAGAUAUCAAGAGGAACACCUGCGGCGAAGGCGGGUUGCUGGGCCGACACUGACGCUGAGGAGCGAAAGCGUGGGGAGCGAACAGG
rnacentral:rRNA from 1 species